rnacentral:rRNA from 1 species
ACGGGUGAGUAACACGUAGGCAACCUGCCCUCAAGCUUGGGACAACUACCGGAAACGGUAGCUAAUUCCGAAUACUUGUUUUCUUCGCCUGAAGGAAACUGGAAAGACGGAGCAAUCUGUCACUUGAGGAUGGGCCUGCGGCGCAUUAGCUAGUUGGUGAGGUAACGGCUCACCAAGGCGACGAUGCGUAGCCGACCUGAGAGGGUGAUCGGCCACACUGGGACUGAGACACGGCCCAGACUCCUACGGGAGGCAGCAGUAGGGAAUCUUCCGCAAUGGGCGAAAGCCUGACGGAGCAAUGCCGCGUGAGUGAUGAAGGUUUUCGGAUCGUAAAGCUCUGUUGCCAGGGAAGAACGCUUAGGAGAGUAACUGCUCCUGAGGUGACGGUACCUGAGAAGAAAGCCCCGGCUAACUACGUGCCAGCAGCCGCGGUAAUACGUAGGGGGCAAGCGUUGUCCGGAAUUAUUGGGCGUAAAGCGCGCGCAGGCGGUCAUUUAAGUCUGGUGUUUAAUCCCGGGGCUCAACCCCGGAUCGCACUGGAAACUGGGUGACUUGAGUGCAGAAGAGGAGAGUGGAAUUC